CCCCGCUAACAGUCACUGGUCUGACUGCGGUUCGGCCUGCCCCCAAACGUGCGUGACGAGCGGGCUGUUCGGCUGUGGUGCCGCCUGUGUGCCCUCGUGUGUCUGUGACGACGGGUUCGUGUUCGAGUCGCCCCAUCACGGGGCCUGCAUCGCGCCUGACCAAUGCCCCGGAGGAAACCCCAUGUUGACCGGACGUUAGACUGACUCCCGCCCUCCGUGUCCGGGAUGGAAUCCUCAGCUCCAGGUGUCCACGUACCUGGAUCAUAGAGUGAAUAAAGUUCACUUGGAAAGCGA